rnacentral:tRNA from 1 species
GCUACGGUGGUCUAGCGGUCAGAACGCUGGCCUUGUAAUCCUGGGGUCUCGGGUUCGAUUCCCAACUUUUGUU